AGAGUUUGAUCAUGGCUCAGAUUGAACGCUGGCGGCAUGCCUUACACAUGCAAGUCGAACGGCAGCGCGGGGCAACCUGGCGGCGAGUGGCAAACGGGUGAGUAAUAUAUCGGAACGUGCCCUGGAGUGGGGGAUAACGCAGCGAAAGUUGCGCUAAUACCGCAUACGAUCUAAGGAUGAAAGCAGGGGACCGCAAGGCCUUGUGCUCCUGGAGCGGCCGAUAUCUGAUUAGCUAGUUGGUGGGGUAAAGGCCUACCAAGGCAUCGAUCAGUAGCUGGUCUGAGAGGACGACCAGCCACACUGGAACUGAGACACGGUCCAGACUCCUACGGGAGGCAGCAGUGGGGAAUUUUGGACAAUGGGCGAAAGCCUGAUCCAGCAAUGCCGCGUGAGUGAAGAAGGCCUUCGGGUUGUAAAGCUCUUUUGUCAGGGAAGAAACGGUGCGGGCUAAUAUCCCGCACUAAUGACGGUACCUGAAGAAUAAGCACCGGCUAACUACGUGCCAGCAGCCGCGGUAAUACGUAGGGUGCAAGCGUUAAUCGGAAUUACUGGGCGUAAAGCGUGCGCAGGCGGUUUUGUAAGUUUGUCGUGAAAGCCCCGGGCUCAACCUGGGAAUUGCGAUGAAGACUGCAAGGCUUGAAUCUGGCAGAGGGGGGUAGAAUUCCACGUAGCAGUGAAAUGCGUAGAGAUGUGGAGGAACACCGAUGGCGAAGGCAGCCCCCUGGGUCAAGAUUGACGCUCAUGCACGAAAGCGUGGGGAGCAAACAGGAUUAGAUACCCUAGUAGUCC
rnacentral:rRNA from 1 species